rnacentral:rRNA from 1 species
UACGGAGGAGGCAAGCGUUAUCCGGAAUUAUUGGGCGUAAAGCGUCCGCAGGUGGCGAUUCAAGUCUGCGGUUAAAGACUGGGGCUUAACCCUGGAAAGGCCGUGGAAACUGAAACGCUAGAGUGCAGUAGGGGUAGAGGGAAUUCCCGGUGUAGCAGUGAAAUGCGUAGAGCUCGGGAAGAACAUCGGUGGCGAAAGCGCUCUGCUGGACUGCAACUGACACUCAGGGACGAAAGCUAGGGGAGCGAAUGGG